AGUGGGGAAGAAGCGGUCCUUGAAUCUAAUGGUAUGUGCUUUCAAACUUUUUUUAUCUUCUGCAUAAUGGGAGAGGAGAGAAGAGGGAAUAACUGUGCUUUGAGUGGUCCUUAAUUAUGUUUUGUAAACGAGUUGUACCUUAUUCAUCUAGGCCCAAUCGUUUGCUGAUUCUGCAUGGAUUUUUAGAUGAAAAUGUGCACUUUUUCCACACAAAUUUCCUAGUCUCUCAAUUGAUCAGAGCUGGAAAGCCAUAUCAGCUUCAGAUUUACCCCAAUGAACGACAGUAUUCGCUGCCCUGAGUCUGGAGAGCACUGUGAGAUAAUGCUGCUACACUUCCUACAGGAAUACCUCUGAGAAAGAAAAAUGAUCAACAAUUAAGAAAUACAAUAAAUGAUUUUAGACCAUUGCUGAUAUUCAGUUCCUGGUGACUUGCUUUUGUCAAACAACAUAUUUGCCAACCUCGCCAACACCCCAGAAAUCUUCAAUCAUAUCUACAUCAGUUUACCAUUUUCCUUAUAACAUCAGUUCUGAGCAAGGGGAUAAAAUGAAUUUUUCAACUGUGAUUUGAUAUGGCUUGCUAGCCUAAAUUUUGGUUAAAUUUACAUGAAUUGUAACAAUACAGCAUGGAGUUGGUGUUGAUUCACCUAAACUAUUUACAGGCCUUAAACUCCAUUAUGAUUGGGAGUGAGUAUAAAGAUCUAAAUAUUUAUUCUCUCAACUUUGAAAGAUAUGUCCAAACCUGCUGUUGGGAAUUUGACCAGCUUUGUUUUAAAAAAAGAACACUCUCUGGCUGUUUGGGUUAGCAGCCAUGUUUCUGAAAUUCAUCCCCCUAGGAACUUGGUUUCACAAUGCCAUUCAGUAAAAUACUUAUUUUAACCUCUACAAGCUGCACCACCCAGGGAGUGUGUUUCUGGGCACGAACCAACUACAACUUUGCUGAGUAUUCAAAAUGUGUAUUAAAAGAAAAUAUUUUUAUGAAUUCUUAUUCUUUUAUAAUGAGUGUAUGGCAUUGUAACUCAUUAAAUAAUUGUAUCGCUUAA